GAGUUCGACGUUCUCUGGAGGCUUGGGAGAUGCAGCCAGGGCGCAGAGUUGGCAGUGGCUGCAGACAUCUCUUUUCAAUGUGGACCUCCUGCCACAGCCACGAGAUUCAAGGAUUUUCUAGGAAAAUGAACGCCAGUGGAUGUGUGGAAUUUUUUCACAAAGUAAGUGACGGGGGUCCCUUUGCACUUCUCAUGCCCCCAUGGUUAAUUGUGUGUGUGUGCUGGAAGUGGAGGAGGGCGGUGGGUGGUGCAGCUGUUUGAGGACUCACCCUUCUUCGGAAGGCUGGGGUCAAUGGGGUGCUGUUUCCCCGAGUCAGUUGAAACGCCCAUGGCUAAAGCCUGUGGAUCAUCUCACCCCUGCAUUUCCUAUUUGGCUCUCACUUUGGUCGAAAGACAGCGGAGCGCAGAAAAUCUGUCAUAAUUGUGAAAGUAGGACCUGUCAUCCUCUAAGGGUCAUUCUUCCUGGCCCACCGGGCUUGUUGACACCUGGAGUUGGGUAGCAGAGAGAGGGAUGUCGGGACCGUGAAUUAACAGUGGCCACCACUUCAUGGUGAAUGGCAUCCAGACAACACCUUCACCUGUCUGGGGAAGAACAUAGGCUAGGCCUGGGAGAGGCUGUCUACUGAAGUCCCUGCAGGGGUCCAGGCUGGACUAUACCCCUCCAGCUUGGCGAGAGAGCCAAGGACCAGCAAGGGAAGUGAUGUACGCUGAGAACCGUCCGGGCGCCCAGCACGGGUCAGGGCCUUUGGCUUACAGGCUGUGUUUAUUUCUGAGCAGCCCUAUGCAGUUGGCAUUAGCAUCCUACCGUUCCCACUAGCCAGCUGGGACUCAAACCGAUUAAGUAACUGUCUACCUGCUUCCUGUGUUCUGUGUCUGUUGGUGUUGAUUAAAAAAUAUAAAAGGCCAGGUUCAUGCCUGUAAUCCCAGCACUUUGGGUGGCCGAGGCAGGAAGAUCACUUGAGCCCAGGAGUUCAAGACCAGCCUGGGGCAACAUAGCGAGACCUGCAUCUCUAUUUUUUUUUUUUUUUUUUUGAGACAGAGUCUCACUCUGUUGCCCAGGCUGGAGUGCAGUGGUGCGAUCUCAACUGACUGCAACCUCCGCCUCCCAGGUUCAAGCAAUUAUCUGCCUCAGCCUCCUGAGUAGCUGGGAUUACAGGCGCCCGCGCCACGCCUGGCUAAUUUUUGUAUUUUUAUUAGAGACGGGGUUUCACCGUGUUGGCCAGGCUGGUCUUGUACUCCUGACCUUGUGAUCCACCUGCCUUGGCCUCCCAAAUUGCUGGGAUUCCAGGCAUGAGCCACUGUACCCGGCCUCAAAAUAUUUUUUAACAGAAGUAGCAGGGUGUGGUGAUGCCUGUAGUUGCAGCUACUCAGGAGGCUGAGGUGGGAGGAUCACUUGAGACUGGGAGGUUGAGGCUACAGUGAGCUGUGAUCGCGCUACUGCACUCCAGCCUGGAUGACAGAGUGAGACCCUGUCUCAAAGCAAACACACACACAAAAAGUAAAAUCCCUGUGAUUAUAUUUUUGCUAGUACUUGCUAAGCUGUAGCUGCUUCAAUUUGAGAGCAGAGCCUGGGCUGCCCAAAGAAAGUCCUGACCCCUUAACUCAGAACUCCGUCAGCAGAGGAAUUGGGUUCUCUGGGCUGUUCUCUACUCAGGCACACCCUUGCUGGGCCUCCCAUGCCCCAGGGCAGUCCAGGAAAUAGUGUGUGCAUGGUGGAGGGGAAGGACCUUGACUGAGACCAGACAGGGUUGGAAUCUUGGGUCUCCUACUUCCUGUCUCUGUGACCUUGGCCAACCAUUUAACCUCACUUGAGGAAAUUGAGCCUCAGUUUCCUCAUCUGUAAAGUGGGGUUGUUAUGACGAUAAGACAGGAUAAAACACAUGAAACAGCCAGCAUUUUACCACUUUUAACCUACAGAACGGCAGUUUGACAUGGCUCACUCAAGUAUGUCCAUCAUGGAGAUGCCUCAGUGAGGUGCUGGGACAUGGUAGACUCAGUAAUGUUCCCUUCCUCUCCUCCAGCCCUCAGUGUUGAAGGCUUUGUCAUCCUGAAUGGCGACGAAUGGGAAGUGAGCUCUGAAACUGAAACCACCAUUUGGGGACAAAAGCUGGCAUUGUAGUUGUGGCUCUCUGGGAAGGUCUCAUCUGUCUUCUCGGGGCUGUUCCCUAAAGCUGUCAUUACGCUGGCUUUGCGGCAGGGGUGCAGCAGCAGUGGGUGGUGAUGCGGCUGCUCUUGAGUGGCCUGGUGGGGUCAUUUCAGUUUCAAGGCCUUGGAGAGUGUGCUUAGCAGGUGGGGCCUAAGAUUUGCAUUUCAGCUGCCCAGGUAGUCAAGAAGCGGUAUAGCAAAGCGGCUGUGAGCCCAUUCUCUGGAGUCCUGCUGGCUGGGUUUGAACCCCAGGUCUGCCUCUUGCCUGCUGGUGCACUCAGCCAAGUUACUUCAUCUGUCUGCCUCGAUUUCUUCAUCUCUAGUGGUUUCUACCUCAGAGACUCUGGGAGCCACAAACAGGAUCCCACUUCUUGAACAAUGCCUAGAACAAAUAAGCAAUUUCUAUGCUGUAGAGAGUGUUUGCUUACUUAAAAUAAUGCUUAUUAAAAAUUGGCGGGUGCAGUGGCUCAUACCUUUAAUCCCAGCACUUUGGGAAGCCAAGGUAGGAGGAUCAUUUGAGCCCAGGAGUUCAAGACCAGCUUGGGCAAGAUAGUGAGACCCCAUCUCUCAGAGAGAGAGAGAGGGAGGGAGGGAGGAAGGGGGAGAGAGAGAGAGAGAGAGAGAGAGAGAGAGAGAAGAUAGAAAGAAAG
rnacentral:lncRNA from 10 species